AAACCUUUGGAAAGAUUUCAGACCAAUAUAAUGUCAAUCAUGUCAAUUAAAUAUUCUCUCAUCAAUGUUUCUGAUAUGUAGUGAUUCUCUUCUCCAAAACCUAUUCCAUAAUCAAUGAUUUUCAUUUUUUCAGAAUAUGAAAAGCUCAUCAGCUUCAAGAAAGCUUGGGUAUGGUGGUUAUGUAUAGAUGUCUUUAUAACUUGGCACAACAAGACCCCCACAAGUGAUUGUUAAGGUGCAGGUUGCUGCGGAGUUCCGCCAUCAUCUGCUAUUUUUCUGUUGCUGGUUUGAUUUCUCAAUUUCUUGUGACAGUUUUGCUAUUUUGUGGAAGUUAAUCCGGUUCAGUUUGCCCAGUUUUAGUUUUUUGUGUGUAGGUUGUUUUGUGGAGAUUCUGGAUUUGAGUUAUUUUGAGUUUGUAUUGGUGUUUUUGGGUGUUAGUUUGUGGGGUUUUUGCUUUUGAUUUACUGUCUGUGUUUCUGUACUUUCUUCGUGGCAUCCUUUAUGCAUGUUUCUUUUAUUUAAUAUAUCAAUUUAUUUUAAUU